AAUGGCCUAACGGCUGAACCAGCAACUUGGAGGAAUGUAUAUUGACUACGUCGAAUAAAGUUCAGGUAGAAUAAUGAUAAUGACAAUUUUCUAUCUUAUGUCUUGACCAAAUCACGUGCCAGCAGUCGCGGUAAGACGUGGAAGACAAGUGUUAUUCAUCUUUAAUAGGUUUAAAGGGUACCUAGACGGUAUUUUUAGCCCAUAAUAGGGUACGGAAUUACUAGAGUUUUAAUAUAGGAAGGGGAGUAUUUUUAGUGUAGAGAUGAAAUUCUGUCAUACUUCAAGGACUGGUAAAGGCGAAGGCAACCUUCUAGGUAAAAACUGACGUUGAGGGACGAAGGCUUGGGUAGCAAUAAGGAUUAGAUACCCUUGUAGUCCUUGCAGAAAAUUAUGAAUGCCAUACAUUAGAUUAGUUUAGUGUAUAAAUAAAAGUGUAAGCAUUCCACCUCAAGAGUAAUGUGGCAACGCAGGAACUGAAAUCAUUAGACCGUUUCUGAAACCAGUAGUGAAGUAUGUUAUUUAAUUCGAUAAUCCUCGAAAAACCUUACCACUGGAUCAAUUAUAUGAUAAUUUGUAUAAUUACAAGCGCUGCACGGCUGUCUUCAGUUAAUGUCGUGAGAUUUUGGUUUAUCCUAAAAAUUAACGUAAACCCUUACUUUAUUUAUUUUUUAUUAAUAAAGUGUUUGACCACUAUAUCGGUCAUAAUGAAAGGGACUAAGACAAGUCAUCAUGGCCUCAAUAUUGUGGGCUAUAGACGUGCCAUAUAUGCCUAUACAAAAAGAUGCGAUAAUGUGAAUUGGAGCUAAUCUUUCAAAAUAGGAUAUAACAA
rnacentral:rRNA from 1 species